rnacentral:pre_miRNA from 1 species
UCUUAGGAAUGAGUAAAGAAAGUGGUUUCUUGAGAUGGAAUCUACUCCUGGUGAAGAUGCUAUGAA